GUACACUCCUACGGGAGGCAGCAGUGGGGAAUAUUGGACAAUGGGCGCAAGCCUGAUCCAGCCAUGCCGCGUGAGUGAUGAAGGCCCUAGGGUUGUAAAGCUCUUUCACCGGUGAAGAUAAUGACGGUAACCGGAGAAGAAGCCCCGGCUAACUUCGUGCCAGCAGCCGCGGUAAUACGAAGGGGGCUAGCGUUGUUCGGAUUUACUGGGCGUAAAGCGCACGUAGGCGGACUAUUAAGUCAGGGGUGAAAUCCCGGGGCUCAACCCCGGAACUGCCUUUGAUACUGGUAGUCUUGAGUUCGAGAGAGGUGAGUGGAAUUCCGAGUGCAGAGGUGAAAUUCGUAGAUAUUCGGAGGAACACCAGUGGCGAAGGCGGCUCACUGGCUCGAUACUGACGCUGAGGUGCGAAAGCGUGGGGAGCAAACAGGAUUAGAAACCCCAGUAGUCCCAUGAU
rnacentral:rRNA from 1 species